rnacentral:rRNA from 1 species
GACGAACGCUGGCGGCGUGCUUAACACAUGCAAGUCGAACGGUAAGGCCCUUCGGGGUACACGAGUGGCGAACGGGUGAGUAACACGUGGGUGAUCUGCCCUGCACUUCGGGAUAAGCCUGUGAAACUGGGUCUAAUACCGGAUAGGACCACUGCCUGCAUGGGUGGUGGUGGAAAGCUUUUGCGGUGUGGGAUGGGCCCGCGGCCUGUCAGCUUGUUGGUGGGGUGAUGGCCUACCAAGGCGACGACGGGUAGCCGGCCUGAGAGGGUGACCGGCCACACUGGGACUGAGAUACUGCCCAGACUCCUACGGGAGGCAGCAGUGGGGAAGAUUGCACGAUGGGCGCAAGCCUGAUGCAGCGACGCCGCGUGAGGGAUGACGGCCUUCGGGUUGUAAACCUCUUUCAUCACCGACGAAGCGCAAGUGACGGUAGGUGCAGAAGAAGGACCGGCCAACUACGUGCCAGCAGCCGCUGUAA